ACUGAUUUAUUUUAGUUGACACUCUAGGGUUCUCUGGGUAAAGGUUGGUGUUUUCCUCAGUCUCAUUGUAACCUCUUUGUCCUUCCAGGAGCUGGAAAGUGAGGUGGUGCAGAAGACAUCUGAGUGGCACAGUUCUUCCCAAGAGGAGAAAAGGCCAAAGGAGAUGGAUUCCCUAGAGGCCCAGCUGGUUGGCUUGAGGCAGGAGCUGGCGGCCUUGAGCCAGAGGCAAGCUGAGGUGCAAAAAGAAUUACACCUUUGGCCAGAGAAGAUGGUGGCCCUGCGCAAUGAGGUGGAGUCUAAGGUCCCUGGCUGGAUUCAGCGGGUCCUUGGUAUUAAGCAAGAGGAGGUGCAGGCCCAGCUUCAUGACCUGGAGCACAGAAUCGUGAGUUAUGUGGCCCAAGAGUGGCCUAAGUCUGUGAGCAAAGCUGCU
rnacentral:lncRNA from 1 species